rnacentral:rRNA from 1 species
AAAUUGAAGAGUUUGAUCAUGGCUCAGAUUGAACGCUGGCGGCAGGCCUAACACAUGCAAGUCGAACGGUAACAGGAAACAGCUUGCUGUUUCGCUGACGAGUGGCGGACGGGUGAGUAAUGUCUGGGAAACUACCUGAUGGAGGGGGAUAACUACUGGAAACGGUAGCUAAUACCGCAUAACGUCGCAAGACCAAAGAGGGGGACC